CAAAGGUGCAGCACGGUGUCCUCCUUGUAGAUGCUCUGCCAGGUCUGGACCACCUCCGGAAGGAAGGAUUUGACUAUAUACAAAUGUCCUGGUUUGAGGAUGUCGUACUCUGACCAUGUGCAGAGCACCUUCAGGGCCCGUCUGAGUCCUCCGCCCAUCUCCUCCUUGCUGAGAAACUCUAUUUUGGCACAGAGGCCCCGCUGGGCCCAGGAAGACAUGCUGUUGUUGAUGGUGUUGGGGGAGCUCUCCUCCAGCCGGUACACAGUCACCGGCUCUCCUGAGGAAACACACAGCCGCAGAACCGAAACAAACCAUGAUUGGAUUUCAAUGGCACAUGAACUGCCCAUUGUAGUUUGACCUGUGCUCGAAACAGAAAGCAGCUCUUUUGUACCACCAUACUGCAGACUGUGGGAAAGUGUUUCCACAUAGGAAGACUGGGCUGCGGAUGUGAUGCUAGAAAUACUUCUGGGCCCCGAAAUAGACCAGAGCCACCAUCGACGCUGCCAUCAAAGGAAUUGCAAAAUAAAGGAGG